AAUCGUCACGCUGCUCAUCGGCAUUCUUCGGCCAAUUCGCUCGACCCCGACCAAAACCCUAGCCGCCGGGGCCGGCCAGCUCCGUCGCGGCGUCGGCGGAUCUCGUUUCGACGAGGCGAGGCAACUGCAUGGGAUUCUUGAUUCAUCUGAGGCCAUACCGAGUGAUGCUUCCACCUAAUCUCGCCGAUAUGAUAUGUCAAAAAUGUCGUUGGAAUGGUUCUUUUAUGCAUUGAGUGCAUCAACUUGAAUCCAAUUUGAGCUUGAAGGAAGCUGAUACUUGGCCUGCCAAGGUUCUAACCAUGAGAAAAGGUGAGAUGCAAAACUGUCCCAACACCGCCAUCUCCUUCAACAAGCUCGGCCUUUUUGAAGAUAUCGGGAAGCAAUUGAGGAACAACCUGGCUAAUACGGAGACCUCGAUACAUCUCCCAUACCUCCGCCGCGGGGAGGCCUGUCUCGAAGUCAUGGCAAAGGCUACCUUUCAUUGCUUCUAUGAGCUCUGGGUGGAAUGCCAAAGAUUGCACGGCCAGGAAUCCCUAGCAAGCAGCAAGCAGUUACUUCGCCAGUAUACUCAUUCGCAGCAUCGCUCUGGUCAUUGGCCAGUCAUGUUUGCAGAUUGUGGUGUUCAACUUUGGCGGACUAGAAAUGACACCGUUUUCAACAGAAUACAGACUCCCACUGUGGUGAUCGAAGUCAGGAUUUGUGACAACCUUAGGCUGUGGAACUGCCCUUUAAGGAAGGAUUCAGAAAAGACCACGCUUCUUGCCUGGGUCAACAAAUUUACAGUCGAAUAGGGCAUAUUUUCCAGUUUUCAAUUCAGCCUUCGGCCAGUUCUUUUGUGGUUUCUAUUCUGUUCUCGUUCGUUUGGUUCUUCGUUCCAUCUUUUGGCUGUUCCCAGACCCCCAGUCUGUGCCCCUCUUUGUGCUUCCCGCCCCCUGUGGCUUUUCUGAAUAUAAGGUAGGGAGCUCUACCUUCUCUAAAACAAUAUUUUAAGUAUUUUAUACUGAAAUAUCUUUUUUUAAAUAAAUGC